GGCUGUCCUUGACCACAGUCCUCACAGCAUCAUGGCUGUUAGAAUGCGUGUGUGACCUGAUGUCCCCAAACCUGUCUGUACAUGUAUGCUGAGGGUGAGUCUGAUUGCCUCGGCUUUGACAAGAGCUGUACACCACAGACAGGCGAUGCUGGUGUGCCACGGAGUCCUGGGAAAUAUAAGAGGACCCAGGUGAUUGGAUGUGCAGCCAGGUGAGAGGACUGCUGUGAGCCCAUCCACUGUGAUCCCAUCCACUGUGAGCCCAUCCAACUGUGAGCCCAUCCACUGUGAGCCCAUCCAUGGCACACCCUCGGCUCAAAUUUGCUUUGAAGGUCAGUAAUUUUUACUUCUUUUCAAAACAACUGCACAUUUCUUCUGGCACCCAAAUGCUGAUUCUCUGCACUGAAGAAUGUCUCCCUCAACAACAGACACACCCUGGAGGGAUGUAUCUUCUCCCCACCCCCACCCUAAAUCCCGAACUGGCUGCAGAGACCACCCAAUGCAGCCUCAUUGCCUGGAGCAUCCUAGAGUCACCAAGGGCCACCUUGCCAUCUUAGGAAUGGGAACCAACAUCAACCAAGGCCACGAUGGAUGCAUCUUUUCAAGCUCUGCGUGCAGUGCCCCUGGGUCCCACCUGCUCACUGCUCUCCCAGCCUUGCCCUCCUCUGGCUCCCUCACCCCACAGAGAGCCAGUAUGCUGAGAAGAAAGCCCCUCCUGCACCAGGUCACUCUGCUGUUUUUGAGCUCUCUGCCAGGAGUCCUGUGGUAAAGGCCUGGACCGGUCCUGGGCUGGAAGACAGGGCACCUGGCACACCACUGACUGACCUGCCAUGUGACUCCAGGCCAGCUAUUAACUCCUCUACCAGGGGCAAUCUCAACACUAACCACAGGUGGUCGGGACCCACCAGAAGUUAUCGGCAUGAACAAGUUUUGGAAAGUAAAGUGCUAUAAAAAUUACAUAACUCUGUGGCCCAGAUAUUCUGUCAAGUGUUAAUUCUCUCUCACAGUUUGAAUUCUACUGAUCACUUUCU
rnacentral:lncRNA from 1 species